CUGGGAACUCCUCUGCAACUAGGUGCUGUGCAUUCCUGCCUCACACCCCAGCAGAGGGAUGCCUCGCAGAACUACCCACUAUCAGAAGUGCUGGAGUGACAACCAGGAAGGCAGGGAAGUCAGCGUGUAAAUGAGUCCCAUGGUUCCUGACAUGAAGGCUUCAUGAGUUAGUAGAGAGGCAGAAGGUUUGGAUGCAGGGAUCUAGAAGCUGGUCUGUAGAGUUGGGAAGUUGUGGGUGGAGAUAAGCUAAUCAAAGCACAGGCAUAUCAGAAGACAUUCCUUCUCAGCUGUAAAGUUAAGAAGGCUCCACAUGAGGUUUUGCUCUCUCUCUCUCUCUCUCUCUCUCUCUCUCUCUCUCUCUCUCUUCUUUUAUGGGAAGUAAGUUAAAGCAGGAUGUGUAGAAAUGCCAUGUUUAUAGGGCACAUAUUUGUGUAAUUCAAAGACUAUAUGUAGACCUGUAUGGGGAGGGGGGAUGUUUUAUGUAUUUCAAGAAUAAUAAAAGGAGAUUUUGAUUGAUCAUACUAUCACCAUUUACCAAAUGACAAGGUAACCAGAGCAAAUGCAACAGAAGGGAGGGGGCAAGCAAAGCAUUUGUUUAAAAACAAAACAAAAAUUUACCAGGAGACCUUACUGGUGCAGGGUGAUAUAUAAAUGCUGCAGUCUUGAUUUCUUAAAAUGUACAACUUCUGGUGAUUUAGUUUUGCCCAUGAAGAAGUCCAUGUUCAGAGCUAUUUCUAUCUCUCCCUCUUCUUCAGCACCAUAAGGGAAUACUGCACAUAAACUUCAGCGUUAUAGAACCUCUGCAUCCAUCUGAACAUGGGCAUGCAGACAACAGCAAGAGGAGACCUAAAAAUGCAAAAGUAGAAAGGAAACAAAAGUGGCUCUGCAAACACAAGGCCUGGCUUCAGCAGGGAUCUGACACAGAUGUCACAGGACACUGGGAACCCACUCAACACAACUCAGCAUUGCUCUGGAGGUCACUGACUGUGAAAAGAAUGUCCCUGCUGGAUGAAGGGACAGACAAGGCCUCUGCAGGGACUCCUCAUUCCAUACUUGUGGUUUCUCUGGGAAGGGCAGUUUCAUGCUUCGUUAUCUCCCUUAGUCAUGGCUUGCUUAAUUGCAAGAAACAGAAAUCCACUUAAACAAGCAGAAGCCUUGAAAGAACAUCAAGCAAAGAGAAGCAAGGAAUGGCUUGCUGCUUGGCCCUAGAAAGUGGCUUCCCCAUGCACAGAGCUAAACCAGAAACAAGGUUGUGCAAAGGGGCUUCCUCUGUUACUGCUGUAAUGUAUUUAGGCAAGAAUGAAAGUUAACUUACAAUGUGCAGAAAGGAGGCCAAAGGACUGCCUGGGUGGAACGGACCAGAUACAAUGACAGAAACGGGAGCAAAUACAUGAUCUUAGUGGUUCCCUAUCAAAGAAGCCAAGGCUGCUCCCUGUGUUGCAUUUCCUAAUGCAAAAGCAGGACUUGGGUGGUCAGUGCUAGGAAACAGCAGAGGGGCCCUAGAACCCUUUUACUGGGACUAACUCCUCCCUCUCAAGUUGUCAAUCAAGUUCUGAGUGUUUUGAUAGCCAACCGACUACAGUGCUCUGUGCCGACGGAGGACACUCUCAGACAAUCUCAAACUCAGUAAGAAGAAAGAGAACACUGAAAAAAUUGAUAACAGCAGUAAGUGUGCAUAAUGGAACAACAACUCCCGAAUUGCAAACAGAAUCAACCCAAGAAAGUUCCACCAUGUUGAAGGAAGGAAAGACCACAUACUUUGAGGACAUCAAUAAGUCAUAAACAAUGAAUUGUCAUAGUAAGCAUUCAUCACCUAGAUCUACUCUCCAUCUGUGGGUUAGUAUUGGCAAGAAAGCUUGAAUUAUAAGGACAUCAAGGAAACAAAUGGAAGUACUACACAGGAGAAAGCAUAGAAGGCAAGGGGUCUACUGGCUAUGAGAGAAGCUCAAUGGACCCACGGAUGACAAAGGUGAAGACAAUACCGUUACACAAUCUUUGCUAUCCAUUUGCAUAUAUAUUCUGUGAGCAUCAGUACCCAUGUACUCUCACAUACUAUAAACACAGAAUUAUGGGUGGGGAAUGGUACAGCAGAGGUAGGGAUUGGAGGGGAGAGUCUGCAACUGAUUAAUAAAUUGUGCCUUAACACUGAAGGACAAACUAGACCAACACCCUAGACCCAGACUCAUGGGAUCCUUGUGGAACAAUAAGGGGAACAAAUGGUAAAACCUCCGGAACUAUGGACUGCACAACCCAUGCUGGGUGAAUUGUUUGCUCUUAAAUUUUCCUGUACAAACUCGGUUUCCUGGGCUUGCUUAUGGGAACUUCGUCAUUGAAAUGAACAGAGACAAUAAGGAGAUAGCAGGGGAAAACAGACUGUGCAGGGGCUCCGGAAAUGGUUGGAUCUUCUUUGUUUUUUGGGUUUCUUUCCUCUUUUUUAACUCCUAACAGGAAACCUCUGUUGUUGUUAUCUAUUGUGCCCCGUGGGUGGUUCUAACUCUUGGGUUCUGAUAACACCAAGCCUUCACUCCACCCUUCUUGUCCUAUAAGAAAUACUGAGCUUUUCUUAAGCUGCUCCACUUCUCGAUUUGGGUGUUAUUUUGCAGUUGGCUCACUAUAUCCAAUUCCUCCUAUUGAAGUACCUGGCGUGGCCUCUGUGCUCCUGCCUGGACGCAAACUGAUACAAACAAGAAGCCCUUCUUCUGCUUUAUAGCAAGUGCAUGUUUAUCAGGCCAUUCAGUCAAAGGAUUCCCACUAGAAGUUACUAAUGAUUAAUCUUUCUGUCAACUUGACUGGACCUGGUAUCAACUGACACACAAGCCUCUAGACACAUUUGUGAUUGAUUGUCUUGAUUAGGUUAGAUGACAGGGGAGGUCUACCCUAUGUGUUUGUGGCACCUUCUGGUGGCAGCCCAGAUAUAAGGAACCCAGAUGUAAGGAGUUUUUGUUUUUCCCUGCUUGCCUUCAUGUCCCACUGGGUAAGUUCAGCUAUUCCAUUGCUGCACCUUCCUGGUCCUGGUGCUGAAACCCAGCUUCAGAAACCCUCCAACAUGGAUGGAAGACCAGUAGCUCUCCAGGGAUCCCCUAGGCCAGUGCUUCCCAACCUUCCUAAUGCUGUGACCCCUUAAUACAUAUUGUGAUGGCCCUUCCAACCCGGAAAAUUAUUUCAGACCUACUUCAUAGCUAUAAUUUUGCUACUGUUAUGAAUCAUAAUGUAAAUAUCUGAUAUGUGACCUGAAGAAGGUCAAGACCCACAGGUUGAGAUAGACUUCCCUAGAACUUCAAUGCCAGAUCAGAACUGCUAGAGUCCUCCAGUCUCAUGCUCUGAGCAGCUAUGGGUUCUCUUUUUGUUGUUGUCGUUUUUGUUGGUUGGUUGGUUUGGUUUUUUUUUUUUUUUCCAUUAUAAGAGAACAAUUGCUAGACUAUCCAGACCAUAUUGUAUGAGCUCUCUUAUUAAAUAGUAAUUAAAUAUAUUAAAUCGUUUCCUUUCAAUAUAUACUCAUUCUAUCAGUUUUGUUGCUCUAGAGAGCACUGACUGAUACAGCGUUUGGAGGAAGCAGAACCCAGAAUGGCUUAGUAUUCCACAAAAAUUGUUUUCAUCUUUCAAAGACAGUUAAUGCUCGGGGAGACAUCAGCAAUUUGCUUCCCAGACCGAGAAGAGGGAUGAGUGUCCUAUAACAAGUAACCAAUGGGGGGACACCAUUAGGCGACAAGAAGGGUAGUAAAAGUGAGUGACGAGGGGGAGGGAUAAACACACAGGGACUGGGAGCACACUUGGGAAAUGUGGCAAUAGAAUGUCUUGCAAAGGGGAAUGCAGGAGGAUAGCAGAAAGCACAGAGGGACCUCUCCUUGAAGUAGUUCAAAGUUGGAAUUUGAACACACUGUUACAGAGCUCCCCAAACCAGACUCCUGUGGCCAUCAUUGAAGCUGCUGCACAUGACAGAGAGAAGGCUUUGCAAUCUGAUUAAAAGUGCUCUGUUAAAGAGACGAAGAGUCUAAGCACUAGGCCCAACAGCCCCAGUUCCAGUCACGAGACUGAUUUGUGGUCAGUGUCAUGUUGACCCAGCUGGUCAAAGGCCUGCUUCCCACAGACCCACUUUUUGUUUCCCUUGAUCUGCUUCUCAGCUUAGAAGGAGGGAGUUGAUGUCAUUUGGGUGAAUUUUCUAGAAAUCCACAUAAGUUGGCUUGUGAGUGGAUUUAGUUAAUGGGAGGCAUUAUGGAGAUUCUGGAACUUGGAAGAUAGACAACCAGAAUGUUUCACCUCUCCCUCUGCCCCCUUCUCUACCACAGGCACUAUCCUUGUCCAUGUCUAUAUUUUCUUGGUGGGUCAAGCUUUUUCUCUGUAUCCUGCAAGGGUUCUGUUUUGCAUCAACUGAUCCCAGUACUUAGGCACUAGUGAAAUCCUCUUACUCCUGUUUCUCUAGUACUUAUGCUAAAAGAUUCCAAUGUUGCAAGUCUCAGGGCUACCCAUUGUACCAUUCUGUUAGAUUUCCCAUAGUUUUAUCUCUAAGACUGAUCCUUACAUUAAAGUUUCUGUUUUAAAACUAAUUUAUGAUCCCUGAACUCAACACUGAUAAAUGAUAAAUGCAUCAUAUGGUGCAGGGCUACAGAGGACUUACACAAGUGACAUCUAGCAGCCAGUUUGUUGUUGCUGUUGUUUUGUUUUGUUUUGUUUUGUUUUUGUUUUUAACAUGGAGAGAUGUUGAAACUGGCCUGGAACACACUUUGUAGCUCAGUCUGUUCUUGGGCUCAAAUCCUCCUGUCUCAGUUUACCAAGCGCUAGUAUUUUAAGGUGUGCCAUUAUGCAUGAUUUAUGGCAUGAUUUCUCUGAGGUCAACCACACCUCUUCUUAAACCGUGGAGCAAUAAAGACAAUAAAGUUACAUAAAAUGGA